rnacentral:sRNA from 1 species
GCCAGGCUGAAGGAACACUGCGAGAAAUAAAGAAAGAAAGUGGGAUGGGGGUCACAGGAUAGAAUAACGCUGAAAAUUUGAUCCGCAGCCGGUUAGACGACGUGGGACCAGACAAGACAAGCCAAACUGGAGGGGUGUGCCACGAAAAUGAAGGGUAGCAAUUUUUGAUCCAAGACUGCAGCUGCCAAUAGAAAACGGUUCGACGAUAGGCUCACACUCUUUGGAGGGUUCCACCACCAAAGAGGGCCCACGUAGCGGCGAGCAAUAGAAAGGAAGAUAUAAAAUGGCGAUUAUUAUAUCGAUGUUGCACGCCAACAAGAACGACUUGAGUUGUUGGAAGAGGUGUGCAGAAAGGUUAAUUAGGGUUACAGGAAGCAACUAACUCGUUAUUGCCAAUCGAGCUUGAAUACGGAGGUGGAGAAAGUUACUGCGUAAGUCCUUGCAACACACUAGAAAUAAAUAUAA